UGUACAUUUGUCUUAAAAGUUAUUUUACAGUGAUGAUAAUUUUUUGUAAAUGUCCUAGAGAAAUAUCUUUGUGUACCUUUGCAAGUAUAAAGGAUACAUCAUUCCACUACUGACAUUC
ensembl:snoRNA